CGUAGGCGGAUAUUUAAGUCAGAUGUGAAACCCCCAGGCUUAACCUGGGGACUGCAUUUGAAACUGGGUAUCUAGAGUGCAGGAGAGGUAAGUGGAAUUCCUAGUGUAGCGGUGAAAUGCGUAGAGAUUAGGAAGAACAUCAGUGGCGAAGGCGGCUUACUGGACUGUAACUGACGCUGAGGCAUGAAAGCGUGGGUAGCAAACAGGAUUAGAUACCCUGGUAGUCCACGCUGUAAACGAUGAAUACUAGGUGUGGGAGGUAUCGACUCCUUCCGUGCCGCCGCUAACGCAAUAAGUAUUCCGCCUGGGGAGUACGAUCGCAAGAUUAAAACUCAAAGGAAUUGACGGGGGCCCGCACAAGCAGCGGAGCAUGUGGUUUAAUUCGAAGCAACGCGAAGAACCUUACCUGGACUUGACAUCCCCUGAAUAACCUAGAGAUAGGCGAAGCCCUUCGGGGCAGGGAGACAGGUGGUGCAUGGUUGUCGUCAGCUCGCGUCGUGAGAUGUUAGGUUAAGUCCUGCAACGAGCGCAACCCUUAUCCUUAGUUGCUACCAUCAAGUUGAGCACUCUAAGGAGACUGCCCGGGUUAACCGGGAGGAAGGUGGGGAUGACGUCAAAUCAUCAUGCCCCUUAUGUCCAGGGCCACACACGUGCUACAAUGGUGAGUACAGAAAGAUGCAAUACCGUAAGGUGGAGCAAAACUCUAAAACUCAUCCCAGUUCGGAUUGCAGGCUGCAACUCGCCUGCAUGAAGCCGGAGUUGCUAGUAAUCGCGAAUCAGCAUGUCGCGGUGAAUACGUUCCCGGGCCUUGUACACACCGCCCGUCACACCAUGAGAGCUGGCAACACCCGAAGUCCGUGAGGUAACUCGUAAGAGA
rnacentral:rRNA from 1 species